rnacentral:misc_RNA from 1 species
AAGUCGUAACAAGGUUUCCGUAGGUGAACCCGCGGAAGGAUCAUUAACACGUAUCCAAACGUUAAAACCACCCCCCGUGAACCUUCAGCCUGCUCUUGUAACCCGCGUAGUUGCAAUCUCUGGUAAAUCAAGUGGGAGGAAAGUUUUGAUUCAGAGACCUCUGGCUACGUGCGAACAUUGGAACAGUUACAAUGGAGCGGUGGUUGUUGUUCUAUAGGCAUUGUUUCCCCAAGCAGUCAGUGUCUGAAAGUGCCAUUGAUUGUGCAAGGAUAGCGCUUCACGAUUCUUGUAGACCGUACACUCGGGCAGGAGCUAUGCCAAAGGGUCCCCACGCCCCCUAAUAACCCCACAGUCUUGGUUCUC